rnacentral:rRNA from 1 species
GACGGAGGUCCCUAGCGUUGUUCGGAAUCACUGGGCUUAAAGCGCGUGUAGGCGGAGUGGCAAGUACCUUGUGAAAUCCCCGGGCUCAACCCGGGAAUUGCUCGGUAUACUGUCACUCUUGAGGCAGGUAGGGGUCACUGGAACCUUAGGUGGAGCGGUGAAAUGCGUAGAUAUCUAAGGGAACGCCUGUGGCGAAAGCGGGUGACUGGGCCUGCCCUGACGCUGAGACGCGAAAGCGUAGGGAGCAAACGGG